rnacentral:lncRNA from 1 species
AGAUACGGCGUGCGGCCGGACGUGAGCGCGGCGUAGCCAAGCUCCGUCAGGGACAUGCACUGCGCCUUGUAGCCCUUCUCCACCGCCUCCGCCGCCAGGUUGCGCGCAAUCUCCGCGCCGGUGCCGGUCUGGCUGGCAAAGGCGAAGGUAAGCGGCGGCUUGGUCCCCGCCGUGGCCGCUACCGCCGGCGGCGGCGGCGCUGCCCGCUGCUGCUUGAGCCUCGCUAGGAUGGCGUUGCCUCCGGUAGCGGCGGCGGCGGCGGGUGCAGGGGCUGCAGCCGUGGCGGCAUCCUGCUUGCCAGGCGGCGCCGCAGCGGUGGCCACAUGCACCACGACCCCUGCUUCAGCCACUGCUGCAGCAGGAGCCGACGAAGCGGCGGCGGCGGUGGUCGACGGUUCGAUAGCAGCCGUCGCUGCGCCCCCCUCCAUCGGUGCGGCGCGCUGCUGACGCAGCCGUGCCAGGAUGGCGUUGCCGCCUGUAGCGGCAGAUGACGUAGCACCUGUACUGGGCGCUGGCACGCUGGCGGACGGGGCAGCCACCGACACAGCAGCCACGGGUGCGGCCGCUGGGGCGGCAGCGGCGACCUCAGCAGGCGGCUGUGCGCGAGGACACAUGGGAGGAAUGGACAACGUUGAUGCGCACAGCACGUGUGGCAAGGAUGACGCUAGCAUGUCCUGAGCUGAUUGCUUCAUCAGCAGCGACGCAGGCAUGGGCAGGACAAAGUGCCGAACACAGGUCGGAGGAACCAUCAUCGAUGCCUAUUCACAGGCAUGCCCUUGGCCUUUGUAUGCACCGAAAUUCCAGACACAAAGUGCAAGCCGCACCUGCUGCUCAGCAGCCGCCGGCGUCUCAGCCGCCAGCGCGGUCCACAGCCCCUCGCUCCACGGGUCCACAACGCUCUCGAUGCCGUCGACCUCGUCCGCCUCCGCGCACGGGUAGAACUCGGCCGCACCCAGAUCAAGCAGCCGGCCCUUGAUGGCGCGGGAUACAUACAUGAAUCGCGUGUAGUUGGAGUCACCCAGACCCAAAAGCGUAAACUUCACGCCGACAAGCGGCUUGCCCUCCUGCUUCUUGCGAAGCGCCACAAAGAAAGCGCCGCUGUUGUCCGGCGGAUCGCCGUCGCCAGUGGAGGACGCCACAAUCACCAGAUACGGCGUGCGGCCGGACGUGAGCGCGGCGUAGCCAAGCUCCGUCAGGGACAUGCACUGCGCCUUGUAGCCCUUCUCCACCGCCUCCGCCGCCAGGUUGCGCGCAAUCUCCGCGCCGGUGCCGGUCUGGCUGGCAAAGGCGAAGGUAAGCGGCGGCUUGGCCCCCGCCGUGGCCGCUACCGCCGGCGGCGGCGGCGCUGCCCGCUGCUGCUUGAGCCUCGCUAGGAUGGCGUUGCCUCCGGUAGCGGCGGCG